GACGGAGGAUGCAAGCGUUAUCCGGAAUUAUUGGGCGUAAAGCGUCAGCAGGUGGCUGUUCAAGUCUGCUGUCAAAGCGCAGAGCUUAACUCUGUACAGGCGGUGGAAACUGAAGAGCUAGAGUAUGGUAGGGGUAGAGGGAAUUCCCGGUGUAGCGGUGAAAUGCGUAGAUAUCGGGAAGAACACCAGUGGCGAAAGCGCUCUACUGGGCCAUAACUGACACUGAGGGACGAAAGCUAGGGGAGCGAAAGGG
rnacentral:rRNA from 1 species